CAAAUUUUAGAUAAAUGUUAUAGCCAAUAGUGAAAUAUUGUAAAAUACAAGGUAAAUGAUGCAAAUAUGUAAAGUAAGACCCCAAAACUCGGGAGGGAGAACACCGUUUGCAUAAUUUUGAAUUUGAGGGGCUAGUGAAGAAGACAGAGUGACAAUACUUUCUGAAAAGCCUGGUCAUGUGAAGAAGAAUCAAACUCAGCGGGUUUUACAGGACAUCCCUGCUAAUCAUUCUUCACAGGGCCAUAAGAAUCCAACUCAAUGUUCACCAUUCACAUUUUCCUCUUCCAGGCUCCCCCCCCCCCUUCACAAUCAUAUGCUCCUGCCUUCAACACAGCAAAUCCAAUGUAUCCAAAGACCACCACCAGCUUUCUACAACCGAAUGAAUAUGUACAUCUAAUGCCUUGCAGGGACAUGCAUGCCUCUUUCAAUCCACAUGCCAAUACAUCUUUUUCAUCAAGAGGACUUGUGAUUAUUAACCUUUUUUUACCCGGCCCAUAAGUGGCUUAGCCAUUAGAAAACUCUGAUCAUAAAGUCCAGUGGGCUUGAAAUUACUUUAAUUUAUGCUAUUAUUUUAUAUUUUUAUUAGCACCAUUGGUUGCAGAAACCUAGCAUGAGAGCAGCCUUCUAACAAGUUCUGACAACUCUUGACAGCAAAAAACUAUCAGACUCAUCUACACCAUAACCACUGAGCUACUUUUCCUUUAUAUAUUUGGAGUUUUUUGAAAUUCCUCUAUGUUUUCCUUUAUAUUAGAAUAACUCAAUUAUAGAUUAAACUAUUGGAACAAAAUUUACUCUAUAAUAAAGUUACUCUAUAAUAGAGUUAUUCUAUUUUUGUGAAAAUCAUAGAGAAAAAAAUAGUUAUGGGUUGGAGAUGCCUUAAUAUCGUCAAAAACAUUAUUACUAUUAAUAAUAUGGAGUAGUAGUAGUAGUACUACACAUUUCGACCUACCUCUUAUUCACUCGUUUUUAACUCGUACUUCCAAGUGCGCACCAACCUCAUCAUGAUCCACAUUAUUUAUUUACUAUUACUCUCAACAUUUUUCUGUGGAGGCCUGGCAUAUUAAACUGAAUGUUUUCUGUCUGCAUCAAAUCUUGUUUCUAUUAAGUCUGAAUUAGUAUUUUUCUUCGUCUUAUAACCGGUGGAUCUUGGACCAAAAUCGGGAUAAUCGCAUGGCAUGUGGAUGAAUUGUACCAUUUAAGACAUUUAUAAUAGGCAGCUAUUAUUGAGAUCGUGGUAGAAGAAUUC
rnacentral:lncRNA from 1 species